AGUGAACGCUGGCGGUAGGCCUAACACAUGCAAGUCGAACGGCAACACAGUAAGAGCUUGCUCUUACGGGUGGCGAGUGGCGGACGGGUGAGGAAUACAUCGGAAUCUACUUUUUCGUGGGGGAUAACGUAGGGAAACUUACGCUAAUACCGCAUACGGCCUACGGGUGAAAGCAGGGGAUCUUCGGACCUUGCGCGAUUGAAUGAGCCGAUGUCGGAUUAGCUAGUUGGCGGGGUAAAGGCCCACCAAGGCGACGAUCCGUAGCUGGUCUGAGAGGAUGAUCAGCCACACUGGAACUGAGACACGGUCCAGACUCCUACGGGAGGCAGCAGUGGGGAAUAUUGGACAAUGGGCGCAAGCCUGAUCCAGCCAUACCGCGUGGGUGAAGAAGGCCUUCGGGUUGUAAAGCCCUUUUGUUGGGAAAGAAAAGCAGCAGGUUAAUACCCCGCUGUUCUGACGGUACCCAAAGAAUAAGCACCGGCUAACUUCGUG
rnacentral:rRNA from 1 species